GAUGAACGCUGGCGGCGUGCCUAAUACAUGCAAGUCGAACGAAGCACUUCGGUGCUUAGUGGCGAACGGGUGAGUAACACGUAGGUAACCUGCCCUCAAGACGAGGAUAACCGUUGGAAACGAUGGCUAAGACUGGAUAGGAACCGAGGAGGCAUCUUCUUGGUUUUAAAGGACCUGGCAACAGGUACGCUUGAGGAGGGGCCUGCGGCGCAUUAGUUAGUUGGCGGGGUGAAGGCCCACCAAGACGAUGAUGCGUAGCCGGACUGAGAGGUUGAACGGCCACAUUGGGACUGAGAGACGGCCCAAACUCCUACGGGAGGCAGCAGUAGGGAAUUUUCGGCAAUGGGGGCAACCCUGACCGAGCAACGCCGCGUGAACGACGAAGUACUUCGGUAUGUAAAGUUCUUUUAUCAGGGAAGAAUGGCUUACGGAAAGUGAGCGUGACGGUACCUGAUGAAUAAGCCCCGGCUAACUAUGUG
rnacentral:rRNA from 1 species